rnacentral:rRNA from 1 species
CGCGAAAACUAUUGAGGUAGUGCCUCGGAUGGACACCUCAGGGGGUAGAGCACUGGAUGGUUGCGGGGGUCGCGAGAUCUACCAAUACUAACCAAACUCCGAAUACCUGAGAGUGAUAUCCGGGAGACAGACGGCGGGUGCUAAGGUCCGUCGUCAAAAGGGAAACAGCCCUAACCUACAGCUAAGGUCCCCAAGUCAUAGUUAAGUGGGAAAGCAUGUGGGAAUGCUUAGACAACCAGGAGGUUGGCUUAGAAGCAGCCAUCCUUUAAAGAUAGCGUAACAGCUCACUGGUCUAGAUAAGCUGUCCUGCGGCGAAGAUGUAACGGGGCUCAAGCCGUGCACCGAAGCUGAGGAUGCGUAGCGAUACGCGUGGUAGCAGAGCGUGGCG